rnacentral:tRNA from 1 species
UAUAUUUUGGUGUAUGGGCAUUUAGGGUUUUGAUCUCUAAGGUUUUAGUUAAUUUCUAAAAAAUAUAA